rnacentral:rRNA from 1 species
UGCCUACGGGGGGCAGCAGUGGGGGAUAUUGGACAAUGGGGGGAACCCUGAUCCAGCGACGCCGCGUGAGUGAAGAAGUAUUUCGGUAUGUAAAGCUCUGUCAGCAGGGAAGAAAGAAAUGACGGUACCUGACCAAGAAGCCCCGGCUAACUACGUGCCAGCAGCCGCGGUAAUACGUAGGGAGCAAGCGUUAUCCGGAAUUAUUGGGUGUAAAGGGUGCGUAGACGGGAUGUCAAGUUAGUUGUGAAAUACCUCGGCUCAACUGAGGAACUGCAACUAAAACUAACAUUCUUGAGUGCAGGAGA